GUCUUUGCUGUCUUUUCAGUAACUGUCGUGCACCAUUUCCCACGUUUCAUCAUGACUCCUCAUCUAUCCCACCACGUGUACCAUAUCUAACAGAUGCCUCAAAUUGUGAAUAACACGAUCUUUUCCCACAUAACCUUUGCAGUUUUCGAAGCCUAAUUACUUCCUUCCCAUGUUCUUCUUCUUCAUCUCGUCGCUCUUUGCCAUUUCUCAUCUUUAUCCGUUUCUCUUUACUCCUUUUUCCAAAGGGGGGAUUGGUAUCAAGUUGAGAAGGAGAUUGGGAGAACGCAAGGAGAGGCUCAUUGCUAAGGAGUGGGAAGUGUAGGAAUUCUCAAAUUUUGGCAAGGAAAUCCAGGAGCAGAUAUUGAUGUAGGUGAGCAGGCUGAUACAUAGAGACGGAGUAGGGACUUCUUGGGGUUUUCAUGGAUUUUAUUUUAUCAGACUAUGGAUUUAUUUUAAUAGUUUUAUAGUCAAUUAUAUUUGUAAUACGAUAUUGUCGUGAAUUAUUCUAUCCGU